rnacentral:misc_RNA from 1 species
GGAAGACACAUCAGCACACUACAAUAUCUUUGUUGGGGAUCUUAGUCCUGAGGUCACAGAUGCCAUCUUGCACAAAUUUUUUUCAUUUUAUCCAAGUAUCUCGGAUGCUAGAGUCAUGUGGGAUCAGAAGACUGGUCGAUCUAGAGGGUUUGGUUUUGUUUCUUUCCGGAAUCAGCAGGACGCACAAAGAGCCAUAAAUGAGUGCCCUGGUAAGUGGCUUGGCAGCCGUCAGAUACGUUGUAAUUGGGCUACAAAAGGGGCUGGUGGUAAUGAUGACAACCAGAUUGCAGAUUCGAAAAAUGCGACCGAAUUGGCAAAUGGAUCAAUGGAAGAGGGCUUAGAGACGGCCACUGAUGAUGGCCCAGAGAAUCCCCUGCAAUACACCACUGUUUAUGUUGGAAACCUUGCGCCUGAGGUCACCCAAGUAGAUCUCCACCGGCUUUUCCAUGCCCUCGGUGCUGGAUCUAUUGAGGAGGUUCGCAUACAACGUGACAAAGGCUUUGGUUUUGUAAGAUACAGCAAUCAUGCUGAAGCUUCUACGGCUAUUCAGACAGGAAAUGCCCGGGUUUUGUGUGGGAAGCCAAUCAAGUGUUCUUGGGGAAGCAAGCCUACACCAGUAGGAACUAGUUCCAAUCCGCUGCCCCCUCCGGCUGCUGCCUCCUAUCCUGCACUAUCGGCAGCUGACCUGCUUGCAUAUGAGCGUUCCUUGGCAUUGAGUAAGAUGGCCUCUGUACCAGCAGUGAUGGGCCAGCACGCCUACAAACAAGCAGCUAUAGGGAUGGGUGCUGGUGCUAGUCAGGCUAUCUAUGAUGGAGGGUUCUCGAACGAUGGUGGUUUCCCAAACUCGCAGCACAUGAUGUAUUACUAGGAUCUGGACGGGCAACCCUUUUAGGGUUAUUUUAGCAGUCUGAAACUUUAUUUUUUCCUCCUUUAUGAUGGCUUU